GGGGUGUGCAAUAGACUUACCUCCACGUGGUGUAUCCUGGGCAACGUAUUUUCAUACGGCAAAAAAGUCUAU
rfam:Hymenolepis nana genome assembly, scaffold: HNAJ_scaffold0002337